UCCGGUAGACCAAACACACAGGCAAUGAACUCUUCUCUGGGCUCUCUCAUUCUGAUCUUAAUGUUUGGAGGAACCAGUGGCAAUUCGGUCAAACAGACAGACCAAAUUACUGCCUUGGAAGGAGCAUCUGUGACCAUGAAUUGCACGUACACAUCCACACAGUACCCUACUCUUUUCUGGUAUGUCCAAUACCCCAACAAAGCUCUGCAAUUUCUUCAGAAAGAGACGAUGGAAAACAGCAAGAACUUUGGAGGCAGAAAUAUUAAAGACAAAACCUCCCCUAUCACAAAAUCCUCAGUCCAGGUACAAGACUCGGCGGUGUACUACUGUCUUCUGAGAGAUACACACAGUGCCAAGGGCGUGGGAGGACCUGUACAAAAACCUCAGGGGCCCAGGCAAGGUAUGCAGUGAGCCUGGGAACCCCAAGCUGAGGAACCUUGUUCUCUCUCACAGUCCUGUUGGGACAUUGUUGGAAGAUAAAUAAAAACAAA